ensembl:lncRNA
GCCUACCCUACAGUGACUGAUUGGGCUGCGAUCCACAGUUGUGUACUGCGAUCCCUGGAAGACUAUAGAGACAGGUUAGAGAAGUGUUUCAGAAAAUACAGUGGCCUGAACAGCUCUGAGAACUAUAAUAGCCUGCUAAAGGCCUCCAGCCUGCUUUGAGCCAAACUGUAAAACUCACUUGCAUUGGGUGGGAGACAGUACCUCUACAGACUGUGAUUGAACAUUGUAAACAUGCGGAACGGCAGCAGCAGUCUGCUGAUAAUAAGGCUACAUCCAAACAAGAAAAGGAAAACACCAAGCUCCAGGCUGCUCAGCUCAUGUAUUAUCAGGGACAAGGUCAGCAAUUCGGCGGAAAGGGGGGAGGAACUGGUGGUUCUCGGAAGAUUGGAAAAAAUCAGGAGGGAGGACGAGGGAGAGGUGGACAGGGACGGAGCGGGGACCAGACAAGAGAUCAGUCAUGUUACAAUUGCGGUAAAUAUGGUACAUUUUAUAGAAGGUGCCCUGAACCGAAGGGACAGGAAGUUGUGGGUGGUGGAUGGCAGACGGGACCAUCACACAAUGUCACACUCAAUAAACCUAAGGAUGACUGAAGUGUAGCGGAGACAGCUGACAAAUCUUCGCAGAAACAGUUCCUUAAGAGAUUUACUAAGUCCAAAGAUACCCCUUGUGUUACCCUUCUGAUCGAAGGGUGAAAGCAGCCCUGCCUGAGCCAAAAGGAGGACCACCACAAAAGAUCCAACCAGGCGACUGGGUUGUCGUGAGGGACUUCCGUAGAAAGUACUGGCAUCAACAUAGGUGGUUGGGACCAUACCAGGUGCUACUGAUCUCCCAGACGGCUGUGAAGGUUGCUGAGAGACCUAUGUGGGUCCACGCCAGCCACUGCAGGAAGGUGCCAUACAAACCUGAUGACGAUGUAUCAGCUAAUGCCAGGACGACGACCACCACAAUGGCCAUGGAGUAGCGAGGAAGGCUUACUGAAGGUCACGUUCAUUGCCUUCAUCGUCAGUAUUGCUGUUUCCGACCAUGGAGGCUGUGGGGAACCACAGAGAACAUUGAGGGAACAACAGCAGCAACAUAGUCCAACGACAGGACUUAAAUAAAAGCUGCCUCAGUGCGAGCCCACGGCGGGCUCAAGACUGGAAUCUAGAAAAUAACAGCCGAACUGCAUGAUUGGGCAACAGCCCACGGGAAUGGCUGGUGGAUGCUGAUGAACCACAAGCUGUUCUCCCACUUCACCUCAGUUGCACUGACACUGACCAAGACAACAGGCACAUGAAUGUUAUGCGGUUGUACAGGGGAUCAAUGUGAAGGACAUGGAUGACAACUGUAGCAAAACCAAGUAAACAUGACUAUUUUUAUAAUCAUUGCUUGCUGAAGUUCUUUUUGUGACUGUAACACAAAUAAUAAAGUAUUUGUCACCUCCCAUUCCUUAGGAUAUGGGAAAAAGUGUUUAUGCAUUGUUAAAAGUGAGUUGAUUGUUUUAUAUUUAAUCAAUAUUGGUUUAAUGAUGAUUAAUGGUUGGAGACAGAUUUUUUGGAUAAUAAUCUGUUGCUCUUGCUGGAAUGUAUGAUGUACUUUCUACAGUUUUGUUUAUUCAUUAGUAGUACUGUUUGCUGAUAUCAAAUACUUAUUUCACUCAUUAAUAAAAAUGUUGUAUUUCACAAUGUAUUUCACAAUCUGCUCAGUUACUGGGAUUUUUACGCACAACCAUUUCUAGGGUUUACAAAGAAUGGUGUGAAAAUGGAAAAACAUCCAGUAUGCGGCAGUCCUGAGGGCGAAAAUGCCUUGUUGAUGCUAGAGGUCAGAGGAGAAUGGGCCGACUGAUUCAAGCUGAUAGAAGAGCAACUUUGAC